GUGCUCGCUUCGACAGCACAUAUACUAAAAUUGGAAUGAUACAGAGAAGAUUAGCAUGGCCCCUGUGCAAGGAUGACAUGCAAAUUCUAAUAAAUAAAUAAAUAAUCU
rnacentral:snRNA from 1 species